UGCUGUCCUCUGUGGUGAUUGGUAGUGUCUGGAGUUACAGUGUUGGAACCCUGUUGUUGUUGUUCCUACCUUGAGUGACUCCAUGUUUUGGUGCCAAAUAUCAGGAGUGAAUCAGAGAGUCGUUGGCGGGAGGCGAGGCCCCCGCGGUGAGGUCCUCCCAUCCCAUGCAUGUGAAACCACAGUAGACUGCU